UACGAAGGGGGCUAGCGUUGCUCGGAAUCACUGGGCGUAAAGGGUGCGUAGGCGGGUCUUUAAGUUAGGGGUGAAAUCCUGGAGCUCAACUCCAGAACUGCCUUUGAUACUGAGGAUCUUGAGUCCGGGAGAGGUGAGUGGAACUGCGAGUGUAGAGGUGAAAUUCGUAGAUAUUCGCAAGAACACCAGUGGCGAAGGCGGCUCACUGGCCCGGUACUGACGCUGAGGUGCGAAAGCGUGGGGAGCAAACAGG
rnacentral:rRNA from 1 species